AUUGAACGCUGGCGGCAUGCCUUACACAUGCAAGUCGAACGGCAUCGCGGGAACGCUUGCUUUCCUGGCGGCGAGUGGCGACCGGGUGAGUAACACAUCGGAACGUACCGGCUAGUGGGGGAUAACCCGUCGAAAGACGGGCUAAUACCGCAUACGCUCUUCGGAGGAAAGCAGGGGACCUUUGGGCCUUGCGCUAGCCGAGCGGCCGAUGUCCGAUUAGCUAGUUGGUGGGGUAAAGGCCUACCAAGGCGACGAUCGGUAGCGGGUCUGAGAGGACGAUCCGCCACACUGGGACUGAGACACGGCCCAGACUCCUACGGGAGGCAGCAGUGGGGAAUCUUGGACAAUGGGGGCAACCCUGAUCCAGCAAUGCCGCGUGGGUGAAGAAGGCCUUCGGGUUGUAAAGCCCUUUCGGCAGGGAAGAAAUCGGCGGGGCGAAUAACCCUGCUGGAUGACGGUACCUGCAGAAGAAGCACCGGCUAACUACGUG
rnacentral:rRNA from 1 species